UAUGUCAUUUUUUGGUUUUCCAGUUUUUUAGACUAUAAACUAUCUAAAUAUGCACGGGUUUAAAUUCUUUCUUUAUUCUUUAUAACAAAAAAGAAUUCAACUUUUUAACCUUAGUGCUUUUCAUCACUUCAUUUUAAAGAAAGCUGAUGAACUUUCCUUGUUUCCUUUUAUUUAGUUAUUCUUUUUUUUUUUCUAUUUAACACCUUGUAGACCUCAUAUUGGUUCCGCCGCAUAUAGGUUAUAUUGCUCAAAAAAUUGCUAAAAUAUUCUCAUUUCAUAAUGUCUCUGUUAUGGAGUUGCUUACACAGUGCUUCCUGAGUAUUGAUCACAUCUAUUUGACUAGAACUUUUACAUUAUGUAGCAGUAAUGUUAGAGAAGGGCCUAUCAAUCCAGGAUUAAUGGUUAACCCAGAAACUGAAAUGCAAUGUGAGCCUCAGGCUGGGGAAAUCAAUCUAGAGUCCUCUAUUGAGGAUCCCUCUCUCAAGAAGGAAAAAGGGGAGAAUGAUAAUAAUUCAAACGCUGCAAACAUGGAAAUCAGAUAUGACAGUAAAGAAUUGAAGUGCUACAGACGAAGAAAGAAAUCAGCUUGUGGGAGCUGAGUUAUGGUUUUGCUUACAUCAACUAAAGAACUGAAAGCCAAGUCUUGUCAGUUUCUUGGCGAGAUAAAGAAAGUUAGUUCCAGCACCUCGAAUCUUGCUUUCAGGCGUGAUAAAAUUCUUUAAUACAGAAUAUCAAAAUGAUCUUGAAGAUCAAUCUUUUGUUAGGGCAUAUACAUGCACGUGGAUGAGAGCUCAUUUUGGAUUUUGUUUGUUUUUUGUUUGUUUGUUUGUUUUUUAUUUUAUUUUUUAAUUCAGAAGCUCAAGUUAGGAAUGCAAAGAAACACCUAAUUCCUGAAACUCGUGUACAAUCGAUCCGAGUAUUGAAGAAUUCCACUACAGCUACACCAUAUAAACAUGAUGAUAUACCAGUUCUUUUUACCACUUCACCCCCUUUAUGACCGAGGCAUGAUGGAAGAGUAGAGGAUCAAAUCUUGAUCAUAUGGCAUGCAUAUAAAAUGUUCUCGCCAAAGCCACCACCCCGAGUGGCUUUUUUUUUUUUUCUUCUUUGAUAGCAUAGAAUUUUUAACCAAAAUGUUCUUUUUCUUGUAAUUUUAAGGGGUUUUCUCUUAAAUGUCCCUCUGAUGCAACUGAAACUGUAUUUGUCUCGUAAGUUAGGAUUAUAUCUGUUUGGCAAGUUUGCUAUAACAAUAAGACUAACGCAAGUUUGCUAUAGCAAUAAGACUAACUCAUGGUCCUGCUUAUUCUUUAGAGAAAUUACAGAGAAUACGCAUUCUUUCUUUUUUUUUUGAAUUCUUACAUUUUUACUUUUUUUUUUUCUUUUUUGCAAUUUUACCUUUUCUUUUUUAACAUUUAUACAUUUUUUCAUAUCCUCUCUCAUUAAAGAUAGAUGUGUGUAAAAUGUGGAAUUAGGCUUAGCUUAUGAGGCAUUGAAUUUGGAUUGCUGAGUUGUAAAAGAAAGGUUUAAGCUGAAUUAAUUAGUUAGAUGCUUGUUAUAGUAGCACACGUGUCUUGGAUUGAUUGGUUGUAUUGUAACAGCUUUGCAACAGCUAUAUGAGCUGAGAACUUCUUGUAACGAUGCAUAUUCUGUUAAUUAGUUGUUAAUACAUUCUUUCCAAAAUUCUCUCUCAACUGCAUCAUUUUCUUCUUCUUUCCAUCCAUUUUAUUCUCUCUUUUCUUAGUCAACAAUCUCAAUUGUAUCACUGGUAUCAGAGCUAAAUCCUCGAAUCUGUGGAGAUAGUUUUGGUAAAAUGGCGGAAAAUACACGAUCUCAAGAAAUCAAGAAAAUGGAAGAAGGAUUAAAGCAAUACGUGAAGACUUUAAUUGCUCAAAGAAAACCGAUGAAUCAUUAGCUGAGUUGAAGAAGUUGUUAGCAAGUUUACAGAUUUACAGAUCAAUACAGCUGCCAAUGUUAAUGGUGGUGGAGCAACAAGAGGUGAUUCUUUCAAUUCAAACACUGGUAUGAUUAAUAACAAUUACCAAAUGCACACUAGGUAUUCAAGAAUUGAAUUUCCUAGAUUUGAAGGUGAGGAUUUGAUGGGGUUGUUGUAUAGAUCUAAGCAAUUUUUUGAGAUAGACGAGACUCCAUCUAUAAGGAAGGUCAGGAUUGCGUCCAUUCAUUUGGAGGGUAGAGCCUUAUAAUGGCACCAAAUCUUUCUUAAAACAGGAUUAACCAGAGACCCACCUUCUUGGGAAAAGUAUGUUAAAGCCCUUACCGUGAGAUUUGGUACUAAUGUGUAUGAGGAUCCUAUGUCAGAUUUGAUGAAUCUCGAGCAGAAUGGUUCUUUGCAGAGUUAUACGGAGAGUUUUGAUGUGAUUAUGAGUCGGGUUUCACUUUCGCAAGAGCAUGCCAUUAGUUGUUUCAUCAGUGGGUUAAAAAUGGAGCUACAAGGAUUGGUGAGAAUUUUCAACCCUCAAACUUUACAGAAAGCUUACUCUAUAGCACGUUUACAAGAUCACAACCUGCAAAAUACUGUCGAAUUUUAUAAAAAUUUCUUCAAACCUUUUUCCAACCAAAACAAACAGUCAACCUUACCUACAUACACCUCAACUUCAAAAGCAAUAUUACCAAACCCAUCAUUCUUUCCAAAACCAAAUCACGUUAACAACCAGGCAAACCCAAUAAUUACUUUACCUUAACCCAAGCAACCCUUUAUUGCUAAAUCAAACCCACCAUUGAGAUUGAUCGAUGCUGAAUUAAAUGAGAAGAGAAGUAAGGGGCUUUGCUUUUGGUGUGAUGAAAAGUUUGUGCCUGGACACAAAUGUUCCAAACGAAAAUUAAAUGAUUACAAUACAGGAGGUAGUUGACGAAGAAUAUGUUGAUGAUCAAGAACAAAAUUCAGGUGGUUAUGCAAAUUAAGAAGAGUUUCCUCAAGUUUCUGUGUUUGCUUUGUGUGGCAAAGGCAGAAAUAAUACUACUCAAACUAUGAGAAUUUUGGGACAACAUAAAAAGAGGAAAUUGCACAUUCUCAUUGAUACAGGAAGCACUCAUAAUCUUUUAGAUGCAAAAGUGGCAAAAGCAAUGCGAUGUCAGUUAACUCAAAUCACUCUUAUGAUGGUAGAGGCUGCUGAAGAAAAGGAGCUUUAUUAUUCUGCGAUGUGCAAAUAAUUUGAGUGGGAGAUAUAAGGGGUUACGUUUAAAACUGAUCUAUAUGUUAUCCCAUUAGGAGCAACAGUGAUGGUUUUGGGAGUUCAAUGGAUGUCUACUCUAGGAGAUAUCACUUGGAAUUUAGGCACAUUGAAAAUGAAAUUCCAGGUUAAUGGGAGACAGUUGGAAAUUGAUGGAGUUCAUUCAACUGUAGUUAAGCAAAUUACGAAGCUGAGAAUGGCAAAGUUGCUGCAGAAAAUGCCAGACCAAGCUGAAGGAAUAAUUCACUUGUUUCAGAUUUUGGUGGCCUCUUCUUCUUUGACAGCACCAGCAAAAUUGAUUAAAGCUAUAGAUCCUGAGGUAUUUCAACCUGUAUUACAGCCUAUUUUGCAGCAGUUUGAGGACAUUUUUGCUGUACCAACUGAGUUGCCACCUUUUAGAGAUUAUAAUCAUAAGAUUGCAUUGAUGUGAGGCCUUAUAAGCUAUCUACUAUGAAAAAAGAUGUUGAGAAGACGGUUGAUGAGUUACUAACUUCUGGAGUGAUUCAGAAUAGUACAAGCCCUUUUUCAUCCCACGUUAUUUUGGUUAAAAAGAAAGAUGGCACAUGGAAAAUGUGCAUUGACUAUUGGGAAUUAAAUAAGAAUAAAGUCAAGGAUAAAUUCCCUAUUCCUGUAAUAGAAGAACUCCUAGAUGUAUUACAUGGUUCAGUGAUUUUUUCAAAGAUUGACUUGAGGUCGGGCUACUAUCAAAUCAUAAUGCCCACUUCAGACAUUCCUAAAACUGCUUUUAAAAUUUCAUGAAGGCCAUUAUGAAUUUCUUGUAAUGCCUUUUGGUCUCACUAAUGCUCCUUCAACUUUUCAAGCUUUGAUGAAUUCUAUUUUUAAACCUUUCCUUUGAAAGUUUAUUUUAGUUUUCUUUGACAAUAUUCCGAUCUACAGCCCAAACAUUGAAACUCAUAAACAACAUCAUACUACUAUUCUCUUUAUACUUUGAUCUCAUACUCUCUUUGCUAAAAGAUCCAAAUGUGUUUUUGGUGGUGUACAUGUUGAAUAUUUGGGGCAUGUAAUCACUCAAAAAGGUGCUUUUACUGAUCCACACAAGAUUCUUGUUGUACAACAAUGGCCAGUAUCUACUACAUUGAAACAACUUCGUGGCUUUCUUGGGCUUACAGGUUACUACAGAAGGUUUUUCAAGAAUAAUAGUGCUAUUUCCAAACCUCUUACAGAAUUAUUGAAGUCUGAUAAGUUGGCUUGGACAGAGGCGGCUCAACAAGCUUUUGAUCUUUUGAAGUCCACUAUGACUUCAGCACCUGCUUUAGCUCUUCCCAAUUUUUCUGAGAAGUUUAUCAUUGAAAGGGAUGCAUCUACAGAUGGAAUUGGGGCUGUAUUAAUUAAUGCAAAAGGGACACCCUAUAGCAUAUAUCAGAAAAUUACUUUCUCCUAAGAAUAGACUUCUUUCAGUUUACGAAAAGGAAUUAUUGGCAUUGGUGUUUGCUGUUUCUAAAUGGCAGCAUUACUUGAUGGGCAGACCAUUUGUUAUUAAUACUGACCAUUAAAGCUCAAAGUACUUGCUGGAGCAAAGAGUUUCUACUCCUAGUCAAUUGAAGUGGUUAACCAAAUUGAUGGGAUUUGAGUUUCAGAUCUGUUAUAAGAAGGGCCAAGAGAAAUUGGCCGCUGAUGCUCUCUCUCGAAUGCAAUAUGUUAAAUUGCUAUCAUUAGUGGUUUCUUCUAUCUAUUGUGACAUUCUAGCUAAGGUUCACUCUAGUUUGCAGCAUGAUUCUCAGUAUCAACCUAUUAUUUAAAAACUACGAGCUGGUUCUAUUACAGAUAGUCCCUACUUAUGGACUAAUGGAACUCUUUUGAGGAAAGGCAGGGUAGUUGAAGGCAACGAUCCUGAUCUCAGACUCCAACUCAUUUAUAACUGCCAUCUUCUGCUGGUCAGUCGGGUGUUCUUAUUAGUACAAAAAGAUUUUCUUUAGUUUUCUUUUGGAAGGGGAUGGAUAAGGAUGUGAGGAACUACAUUAAAGGGUGUGAUACUUGUCAAAUGUGUAAACCUUAGCAAGUAGCUUAUCCUGGCUUACUUAAGCCAUUACCAAUUCCGCAGGGUGUUUGGACUGAUGUAACUUUGGAUUUCAUAGAAGGACUUCCUUCUUCUUACUGGCUGUGGUUGAUAGAUUGAGUAAAUAUUUUCAUUUUAUUGGGCU